GCAUAUCUCUCAUCAUUUCUCUUAGAUGAAGACAUUCCAGGCUUCUAGCAGCGCAGGGAACUUGGGAGUACUCAUUCCUGUAAUAGCUGUGCUCACCCGACGACUGCCGCCCAUCAAAGAAGCUAAGCCUCGGUUACAGAAGCUCUUCCGAGACUUCUGGCUGUAUUCUGUUCUGAUGGGAUUCGCUGUGGAGGGCUCAGGACUCUGGCCAGAAGAAUGGUACGAGGGGGUCUGUGAAAUAGCCACUAAGUCCCCCUUGCUCACCUUUCCCAGCAAGGAGCCACUGAGGUCCGUCCUCCAGUAUAACUCAGCCAUGAAGAAUGACACGGUCACCCCCGCUGAGCUGAGUGAGCUCCGCAGCACCAUCAUCAACCUGCUGGACCCCCCUCCCGAGGUGUCCGCACUCAUCAACAAGCUGGACUUCGCCAUGUCCACCUACCUCCUCUCUGUGUACCGGCUGGAGUACAUGAGGGUACUGCGUUCAACAGAUCCUGAUCGCUUCCAGGUAAUGUUCUGCUACUUUGAGGAUAAAGCUAUUCAGAAAGACAAAUCUGGGAUGAUGCAGUGUGUGAUUGCAGUCGCGGACAAA
rnacentral:sRNA from 1 species